AGGGCAAGUCUGGUGCCAGCAGCCGCGGUAAUUCCAGCUCCAAUAGCGUAUAUUAAAGUUGUUGCAGUUAAAAAGCUCGUAGUUGAAUUUCGGGGUUAGUAGGUUGGUCAUGCCUCAGGUAUGUACUGAUCUCACUGAUUCCUCCUUCCUGAUGAACCGUAAUGCCAUUAAUUUGGUGUUGCGGGGAAACUGGACUGUUACUUUGAAAAAAUUAGAGUGUUUAAAGCAGGCUAACGCUUGAAUACAUUAGCAUGGAAUAAUGAAAUAGGACGUUCGAUCUUAUUUUGUUGGUUUCUAAGAUUGGCGUAAUGAUUAAUAGGGAUAGUUGGGGGCAUUAGUAUUCAAUUGUCAGAGGUGAAAUUCUUGGAUUUAUUGAAGACUAACUACUGCGAAAGCAUUUGCCAAGGAUGUUUUCAUUAAUCAAGAACGAAAGUUAGGGGAUCGAAGACGAUCAGAUACCGUCGUAGUCUUAACCAUAAACUAUGCCGACUAGGGAUCGGAUGAUGUUAAUUUUUUAAUGACUCAUUCGGCGCCUUACGGGAA
rnacentral:rRNA from 1 species